UGCUUAUUUAGUUUAAUUUUUUAGAAUUAUAUUUUGAAAAGAUAUGGGUAUUUUUAGGCAA
rnacentral:tRNA from 1 species